rnacentral:lncRNA from 1 species
CAACUUUGGCUCCAGCGUCAACAUUAUGCCCAAGGGAAUAUUGAAGAACCUCUGCAUACGAGUUGGUACCUUGUACGCCCCAGCAGACUUCGUGGUGAUAGAGACUGGUACUGAUGAGAGGGCACCCAUCCUAGGGAGGCCAUUCCUGAACACCUCGGGAGAUGUCAUCUACGCUAGUGCUGCCAAGAUCAGUUUCUACAUCAUGAAGAUGAAGGAGACAUUUUUCUUCAAGAACAAGACUACACAAAUCCUAGAGCAAUCCUGACAUGAACCAAGGAAGAGGACCAACAGGAGGAACAGGAACAAGCAAAUGUGUACCGAGUCAGCUAAGAUGGUCACUGCAGCUCAAGGAGGUCAAGAUCGUCAACUCAAGCCACCUUUCUUGAUCAAGAAGGACGACCCUGGUGUUCCAAGCAUCGAGUUCACAAUCAACGGAUAUUCUUUUCAGAAGACACUCUACGACACCGGAUCUAACGUCAACAUAAUGGCCGCAGUCACUUAUCAGCUUCGGUUCGGAACCAUGCCUCUAAAACCAACAUACAUUCAGCUCCAGAUGAUUUUAAGGUUAUUGACAUGGGAGAAGACAAGUACGAUCCAUCCAUCAUCCUUAGGAGACCAGCACCGCUAAAGCAAUCAUCUACAUUGGAAUCGGAGAAGUCCACAUGCACUUCCCCUCUGAGAAGGUACGCCGCUAUUUUACUGACUCUAACUAUAUAGUUGAAGACUCUAAGCAGGUCAGGACAAGAAUAAGACAAUGCAACCGCAACCAAAGGAGGCAAAUUAUCAAGGACGGAUGGACAUACUACGAAGGAGAAGUAGUAAGGUCUGAAGACAUACAGCUUGAACAGAACUGUCCUGAGGACACCGUAGCACCGAGUCAGGUGUGGAGAGAGAAGAUAGUUAUACACGAAGACCAGGCACCGCCGGAACCACCGACUACGCCAUCCACCGAAUCCCAGGACGAUUGAGAAAACAGAGAGUCUCGUUCGGAGGACUUAAAAACACCGAACGCCUUGCCAAGAGGUAAACUUGGUAGUUAUCCUUUUCCUUUCAAUUAUUUAAAAUAGUUUGCUUAGUUAAUCAGGUUCAUGCUAUCUUGAAAAGAAAAUAAAAAUGUUAAAAAUAGUAAGCCCCAUGUGAGUAUGCUCAUGGCAUAAAACCCAUAAGUACAUUCACUGUGGUGGCGUAAAAAUAAAUAUAUAUAUUCCUGUCCUAUAAAAAUAAAUUUAUGAUCCUACUAAAGAGAGUAACAUUUAUUGAGGAGGCUCAACAUGAUAAAGGCUAGAUAUUUAUGCUAACACUUAACUAGUUCCACAAAGCUUUGUUGUCUAUUUGAGCUCCACAGAAUUAAAGGAUCAAAGAAGACUAGUAGACGGAGGACAUCCUAAUCAAUGUCAGGGUGCUGCCGACAUUCAAAUACACCUCCGCCACCUGCUACAUCAAAAGGAAUUACGCAAAAUCCAGCUUGGGGGAGAGCACCUCCAUUUAUCCAGCUAAGUAUUCUACUCACGUUUAUAUUUUACUCAAAUAAUAAAAAGAUGCAUAAUCAUAAAAACCCAAAUAAAGAUUUUGUGCUUAUAUAUAUCUUUGCUUAGUUUGCUAAAUAAAUAAAUAAAUAAAAAUUUGCUAUGAACCCUCAUGAUAAGCUCUCACAUGGAAAGAUGAAUAGUUGCUCUGCCAUGACUAGUUCUCAAAAUUGAAAUCUCUCUCAAGUUUAGGCAUCACUGUUAUUAAUUAAGAUUUGCUCUAAACCUGAACUUGUGGGGAGAGUACUUGAUCUAAAGUCUAAGUCGUUAACGGAUAUGAUAUGGGAAGGUUGAGCUGCUGUUUAUCUGUUCCUAGAGAUGCUAGAAUUCUGGAGAAUUUUAUCUUUGAAAAUCUUUAAAAUAUCACAUGAUGAGUUCCUGUAUGAUGAGAGUUUAAAUUCCUACCACAGCCAUAUAUACAUGCUUGCUAGACUUUGAGCCACACAUUUACUUUUUGCUGCUUAUGAGCAUUGAGUGUGGUCAAGCUGUGUAGACCCUUAGGAGCUUGUCAUGUGGUUAAAUCAAGAUUCACUUGCACAUUCACUCAUACAUGCUACUUCUACUUUGGAAGUACGCAUCCACAUAUAUCCAUCCAUUUCCAUCUCUAGAACCACCCAAAAAUAUUCUACUCCUAAUCCGGGAGAGAAUAGCCAAAAAUAUUUCUGUUUUUUCCCUGUGAAAUAAAUGCUCAAGUUAUCUUGUUACUACCACUUGCUAUAUUAUCUCAUGAGAUGAGUGCUCUAAAAAAAAGAGAAAAAGAAAAAAGAAAGAAGAAAACGAGUAAAUAAAAAGGGGCAAGUGCCCGGAACCUCGAAAGAAAAGAAAAAGUGAGACGAGAGGUAAAAAUGGACAAGUGUCCGACAGUAGAAUUAGGGGUACAAGAUACCCACCUGAGAGGAAAGAAAAAGAAAAUAUAGAGCAUCUCAUUCUCCUCAAAAAAUUUCAAAAGAGCAAGAAAGGUAUGUAUCCCCUCAAAAGACACAAGUAGAAUUAGACUUUCACCAUUGUUAUCACCAUCAUUACCAUGCACCAUUCAUUCGCCACACAUGCACAUCUUGAUUUGACUUAUUGACUUGUUUCUUUGGAUCCAUGGUUUGACUAUGCAAUAAAUGUCUUGUAAGUAUGUAUUAGCUGUCUCCCACCUAUGAGCUCUAGAUAUCAAAACCUUAUUAGAGUAGGGUGAGAGAGAAGGCAAUGCCACUAUGCCUCAUACCAAAAAUACCACAUACUUUGAGAGAAGGCAUACACCAUUUCUGCCUUGGUAAGGGUCCAGAAAUACCACAAAAGAGAGACUAGAGAGAGUCAUACAAGGAAUCUCUGAGUUUUAUUUAAAAAUCAUCAAAAAACCCCAGAGCUAUAGCUGAUCAAGAAUAAGAGACAUGGUGCUUGAUUAGACCGUUCUAUCUUUUAACUACUCAAGACAGAAGUGACGAUUACAAGUCCCAUGGUGAAAGGUAAAUGAGUAAGCUUUAAGUCUUAACAGUUUACUCUAACCAGAGAUGAGAUCUUGUUUAAACGCAUGUGUAUCUUUAAGUUAUGAAACCACUGCAGAAACUCUUGAGUUCAUCUUUGCUCAGGGACGAGCAAAGGUUAAGCUUGGGGGAGCUUGUUGACGGUCCUUAAUGCUCACAAUUAACCAUCAACUAAUCAUGGAAAAGGAUCCAAAUGCAACCAACACCUAGACUUAGGGUUUUAUCUGACAGAAUUCCACAAGUUUUGGUGUUUGUCUAUUUCUGCAGGGGGUUAUCAGGAAAUACGAAAGAAAGGCCCACACGUCGGGUUUACAUAGAGAUAUUAACGUGCCGCACAAUUAUCUACCAUCUAGAAGACUCCAGAAGCCACGGGACCGAAGCGGAGGCCGAGAGGGCUCAGGCACUGGGUGCCCGCCCUAGUCCUGAGGGCGCCCGCCCACCUCUUUCCACCAAUCAGGGUGAAGUUCGAGGAUCGUGCUCCACCGACCUAAUACUUCAAGGAAAACCACACGAUCAAUGUCGGUUUGAUCCGACGGCCCAGAUUCACUUGAAGGGACUAUAAAACCAGACCCCCUGGCCCCUGGAGAUCAUACCUCUUCUACCGAAUCAAAGCUAGGGUUUCAAUUCUUCAUCCAAGUAGAGAGGAUCCCUCUAGUUCUUCUAGUUCAACCUCUAGUUCAUCUAGAUCUAGUUCUAGUUCAUCUAGUUCUAGUUCUAGUUCCUCUAGUUCUAGUUCUAGUUAGUUCUAGUUGUAAUCUAGAAAAUAGGGAGAGAGAAGAGGAGAGCGGAGGAGGAGCCGGAUCUGUCGGAUCUUCCUCAACAUUAUACUUUUGCAGCAUCUGGUUCGUUCUUCAUCGUUCUCCAGGUUCUUCAAUUCAUAAUUCCUAAGUUCUCUAAUUACUUUUAUUUACAUUCAAGUUAUUUAUUGGAUUCCCGCUUGCAUCAAGUGCUCUAGUCUUUAUAACACUAGAGUAGUAAUUAAUAGAUUAGACGUGGUGUUUAGUCUUGCAAUUACCUGGAAUUGCACCCAAUCCUGCGGAUUGUUGUGGUAGCCUUAGGGUAGUGACAGCCCUAACGGUCGACGUAUUCCACCACGUUCGGAUCGGUGUUUGUAGGACCGUAGUUAGACCUUCCUAGCCCCCUUCUCAUCUCUUUCUGUGGUUAGUGCUCUGAUGUCCCGAUAUAGAUAAUCUCGAAGUAAUUCUUGAUUCUUAGAUCAACUAGAGAACUCUCAGGAAACUUCCUCUCUUCCCACCAAAAAUAAUCAUAUAGUUAUCCUUGGGCGAUCUUGGAUCUUAAUUAGUACACUCACGUUCCUUGUGGAAAAUCGAUACUCUGGAAUACUCCCGGGUGAAGGCUACAUCGGUAUCCGUGCGCUUGCGGAUUUUUUCUGUUUGCGUUUAAAAUACUCAACACGGGUAUCCUGGCUAGGAAACAUUGUUAUGGAUAGCCAAAGGUGUAAAAACCUUAGAGUGGGGUUGUUGGAUGUGGGCAUUUCUAGGAUAGUAUUUUCCAGUGUGAACUUGCCCCGUGAUUUCUUCCCAAAACUUAUCCUUAUUAAACCCUUUUGUGGCAUGCACUAAAUCAAGAGAGCAUCUUUGAUGAAAACCAAGGUAUUUGCUUAAGUCUUUCCAAUAGAUAGCAUAUUCAUUUUCAAAUAAACAAAGAGAAAUACCUUCAUAUAUUUCUCUUAAAGUGCAUAGGAAUUAAAUGGUAAGGGUAUAGGAUCCAUACUCAGUUAUGGGGUGAAUGUUGUCCCACCCGGCGGCUUUCCAUAUGGAGAGGAAUUCAGAGUCCAUACCGAUGUCAGAGAGGAGUGAGUCGUCGUAGACCGGUGUAUGGAGGAAGAUCCGGUCCUUGAGCAUGUUGUAGGCUUGAUGUUCUCGAUCACCCACCAAGUCGAAUUGGUGGGCUCCUCCUUCUUCAUGGUGUUCCUCCUCUUGUUCCUCUUCUUCUUCCUCUACCUCUUCCUCUACCUCCUCGAUCUCCGAGGAUUCUUCCUCAGCGGAAGGACUCCAUCGGGGAUCGUUGUAGUAUGAGGAAGUGCUUCGAUAGGGGCGCUUCGAGGAUGACCUCGUGACUCUUGUAAACGCCCCCAAAACUGUUUUGCCGAACCUUUUCAUGGUGCAAUGCUUGUACCAGUGGAUAGCUAGCUUGGAUAGGUGAUUUUUAUGAGGUUUUUCUGGUGGUUGGUUGGAAAUAGCAAAGAUGUGAAAGUGUUGCUUGGAGAGUGAAGAUGGAAGUGAUGAAGUGAAGUGAGAAUGGGUGGAGAGGGCCACACCCGAACCCCUGGUAUUUAUAGUUUGAAAAUGCAGGUGGAUUCGGGGUGAGGGCAACGGCUAGGAGCCUCCCCCAGCUGGCCGUUGUCCAGAGCUGCUGGGGGGGGGUCGGCCGACCCAAGGAGCGGCCGCCCCCUGGUGGGCCCUGCUGCUCCCCAGCUUUUGUCUCCAUCUUCCAACGGCUAGUUUUUGAAGUUUUCCGUUGGCAUAUUGAUGCACUUCCAGCUAAAAAAAUGACUUUUGCAAUUUCCAACAUUUAUUUGUAAAAUUUUUAUUUUCGAAAAAUUUUAAAAAAAAAUUUUCUAUUAUUUUAUUUUAGUUCCUAGCUGAAAAUGAAUUUUUGAAUAUUUUUAAUUUUUUUUUAUAUAUUUUUUUAAGAUAACUACCGAUUACCUUUGGCGAAGGCUGAAAAAAAUGUUUAUAGUCCUUUUUGAGAAGGACUCUCUUCCGUCGUUUGAAUUUCACCCUGCAUGGUUAGUGGGAGAGUUCUCGGGUUGCCCCGGGAGUCUACCCGCAUUAUCAGUAGGAAUUGCAGUGGCGAUCUGAGCUAGUUGUGUUUCUAUCAUUUUAUUUAAGCUCAGUUGGUUUUGUACGGAAGAGGCAAGGUUUUCUAUUUUUGUAUUUAUGUUUUCUAAAACUUUAUCAUUAGACAGCAACUUUUUAGUUAAGUUUCAAUUUAUUUUAGCUUGUCCAAGAACUAGGUCUUUUAAUGAAGGUUGAUUCGAAUUAAAACUCGAAUUACCUUGGAAUGAAGAGCGUGACUGAUUAUUCCAACCAUUACCUUGGUUGGUGCCUCCUUGUUGGCGGAACCCGUUGUUGAUGUAGGCAGCGUCUUCACGGGUUUCGGGGUAAUCAUUCCCCGAAUGGCCAACUUCUCCACAGACCUCGCACGUCAUGUGUGAGUCCAUGGCCUUCACCGAGUUCGAGGGGUUCUCUUGGUUCCUCUCGGUGAGUUGCUUCAUCAAUAAAUCUAUUUUUGCGGCAAGCAUAUCCGUCUCCUUCACGGUAUACAUGCCUUUUUGUGUUUUGGCAGCUGGUGGUUGAGUUCUGUCCUCCCCCCAGCUCUGGUGUUCUACCAUCUUCUCUAUCAGGGACUUGGCCCCGGUGGUGGUAAGUGAUAGGAACGCGCCUCCAGCGGCGGCGUCUAGGUGUCCCUUCGACAUGGGCGUGAGCCCAUUGUAGAAGUUCUGGAGCACCAUCCAGUUCUCCAUGCCGUGAUGGGGGCAGCUUAGGAUGUACUCUUGUAGCCGCUCCCAUGCUUCAGGGAUUGUUUCGCUGGCAUUUUGUUGAAAACUGGCAAUCCUUCCCCUCAAAGCAUUGGUUUUGCUUAUGGGGAAGAACUUGGCGAGGAAUGCCGCGGAGCAUUUUGCCCACGUGGUGACAGCUUCCUUAUCUUGAUAGAACCACCUCUUCGCCUUCCCCACGAGGGAGAAAGGAAAGAGGCAGAGCCGAAUGACAUCAGGAGUGAUGUCCUUGAUGACAAUCGUGUCACAUAGCUCCAGGAAGUGUUGAAGGUGUGCAUUCGCAUCCUCGCUUGGCAAGCCACAGAAUGGGCUCGCCUACACCAUGGUGAUCAGGCCAGUGCGUAGCUCGAAGUUCUUGCCGGCCGUGUCAACAGCGGGGCCAGUGGCCACGUUGGUGACAGCGGGCACAAAGAACUCGCGGAGUGUCUUCUCGGCGGCCAUGAGUUCGUUCGGGGUUGGUGCGGUACCGACUGGUUCACUUGUCGGUGGAGUAUCAGAAGACGAAACGGUUCGAGACUGUCUAGUCCUUAGGAGUGCCUCGGGAUCGGAGAUGUAGUUUUCCAGCAAAGAGAAACUAGGCAUACACUAUUCCUCCUGUUUCAUCCACAACAGGGAGAAAACUGGCAGAGUUAGCCUACAUAACAAUUGACUCAUUACGCACAUCAGAUUACUUGAUUAUAUUUAUCUAGAAUCAUUUUCAUAUUAGCCUUCUCCGGCAACUGCGCCAGAAAUGCUUGUUGGCAUUUCUUAACGUCAUCACUAAGAACAAGGUUUAAUCCGUCCUCAGCAACGAUGUCAGAAAUGUCAUGAUAACACUUACUAAUGCAAUCACCAAGAUUAGAGUAUAAAUCUAUCCUAAGCAACGGUGCUAGAAAUGCUUGUUAGCGUUUCUUAGCGUCUCUACCUAGAAUAGGGUUCUGCUCUACUCAUGAUAAUGACACUGGCAGUGUUAUAUUGGCAGAUCCGUAGCAUCACCACCUUGAAUAGAAAGCUAGAUCUACCUUCCCGAUAACGGCGCCUUAUUACCGUUAGGGUAGGGUUCCAAUUCUUAAUCAUGGUAGUGGCACUAGGAUUGCCAUGUUGGUAUUCCUUAACAAGUCACUAGCUCGGCGCAUGUCUAGCAACAGUGUUAAGUAUAUACCGGGGUGAUAGUUCCUUAGGUUUGGAGUUUAAGUACCGCAAGCGAACGGGAAUUAUCGUGUAGCAUUUCAACCCGGGGAUUUACCGAGUGUUGUAUUUAUAGGUUCGCUCAAAGGAAGGCUUAAUAUGUUAAGGAUUCUAAGAUAAGCAUAGAUCAAAGUAAUAUUGAUAGCAAUAAUGGAAUCAAGGGUCAUAGCAGGUGAUAAACAUUUAUAUGUAGAAUAGUGAUCCAUCACAAUCUAGGCAUGGCAUAUGGGCUAAGGAAUAAAAAGAGACUAAAAGAAUGAAUUGAAUCAAAGAAUAAACAAACAACCUAUUGGAGCAGGUGUGGUCCUAGAUACAGAUCAUGUCAUAGAACAAGUUAAUCAUGUAAUUAUACUACUUAGAUCUAGUCCUGUGUUUAGAUGGUUUGGGAGGUUUCGCGAGUACUAGUCUGCCAGCAACCUCCGCAACUAUUUAGACUCCUACACCCUAGCCGAACGUGGGGGAAUGCCAAGGACGGACAGGGCUGUCACCACCUGCCGCCAUCCCAUCAACCGUGGACUAGGACAAUGCAUUUACGCGGCCUUUACACCCAAGCACCAUGCUUACAUGCAAAGAACCUACUCGGACUCCCCCGGGUCCCCGAUCCUACGGAUCGACAGGUAAGAAGCCCGAGCCUACUCAAAAGAGCAUGAUAAACCCCUAUCUUCACACAAAGCUAUUUCUAGGCAACUAAUUAACAUGAAGCAAUUAGACUAAAGUCCUAAGUGAGAAUAAUACAACAUACACUUAGCACUAGCUCAUAUAAUACACUACUAGCCCUAGAGUAGCAUUAUACUAUAAGAACUAUAUACUAAAAUGUAUGUCAUAUCGUUUUCACUAGAACUAUAUUCUAGUUCAUAUGCUAGCAUCAUAAAACAUGGCCUACGAUCUAUAUCAUAUACCAUAGCAUAAGAACUAUACUCUAGUUCGUAUGAAGAACUAUAUCGGACAUGAUAAGGCAUGGACUUGGAGUAAAGAUAUUCUUUAUUUAUACCCAAGUUUCUCUCCAAGAAGCCAAGCCCUCCUUGAUAGCUCACCCAACUCUUUCUCUAAAAGCUAAAAGGAAAAACUAAGAAGAGGUAGUGCCCAAGUGCCUUAAAGGUGGAGUGUUGACUGUGAAUGUGAUGAGAUGAAAAGAGCCUCCCUCUCCCCCUCCUUAAAUAGGUGGGGAAGGUCGGUUCCCUAGGGUGUAAACUACAAUUUGCACACGGGGACUGCGGGAGGAUAGGCUCAGCACCACCUCUGCGAAAGGCGGUGCCGAGAUGGGAUGGGCCAGGGUCGGCCGCCCCCUGGUGGGCCCCACUGGCCCCGGCCCGAAGCCCGUUGCCUUCCUCUCGGGCCCCUGAGUCCAGAUCCACCUGCAAAUUGAUGCACUUCUAUAUUGGGCUUUUGGGUACUUGUUUAUUUGCGCAUUUUUCGACGUGUCGGAUUGCGCCUUUUUAUUUGCUUUCCACCUGUAUGCCUGUAUAUGAUCUGCAAAACACAACUUGCACUACAUGUGGAACUUGGUAAGCAUUUAAUAAGUAUAUGUGAGUAAAAUACAUGCUUUUCUUCCUUUGCAUGGACUAUGUUGGUGGGGUAAAUAUAUCAUUAAGAACCGCCAACAAGCACCUCAAUUAGAUACUCUAGAAAGUCAUUAGCAUGGUAUUAGAACGAACUACAAGAAUAUUUCCUAAGUUAUUCUCAACUAUAUAGUCUAGCAUUAUCAUAAUUAGUGCAAGCAUACUUAGCAAUCAUUGCGAGACAAGACUACGCCCAUGCAUAGUGAUAUUAGCAAGGUAAAUGAGAAACAUAGCAAUCACUCCCCUGUAAUAAUGUUGCUCUGCCAGCCCAAUACACGAGAGGGGGACUAUAUAAGAAUCAAUGAAGCUGUCACUAUCACGAACAACCCCACGAUCUGGCAUAUUGGGUACAAUCGCAGAUAAAUACGGUAUAAGCACCACGCCUACACAAUAUCUAUCAUUUACCCAUGGUUCCGAUGGAUAAACGCUAUACGAUCCUAAGCAUGUAUAUAGAUCCAAUCUAACUAAGCCAAGUACAUAACUAUGAUAAACUAAGUACAAUAUAAUCUUGAAUAUAAACAAGUAGAGCAAAGUCAUAAGCAAUAUAUUGAAGUAGAACAAAGUCAUAUUCAUAAUAUUGAAGAACAAAGAUGAUUAGAAGAACAAUUAGAAGCACAAUUAGAGAAUUACCAAGAAUCCUCUUGAUAGAUCUGGAAACCAAUCGAAGAUUGACUCCUUCUAGUUCUAAUCCUAUGUAGCUAUGCUAAUCUAGAUAUCUAAUUGAUGUGGUGGCUCUAAUCUUGAUCAGGGGCUUCUUCUCCCUUGAGCAAUAAUGAAGUAGGGUUGAGAGGCUCUCUCCUCCAGGGGCCAAGGGGUCUGGUUUUAUAGUCCCUUCAAGUGAAUAUGGGCUGUUGGAUCAAACCGACAUUGAUUGAACGGUUAUCCUUGAUCCUUUAGGUCGAUGGAGAUCUUUCCCGAGAGAGAGUCCUGAUUGGACUCAGAGAGGGGGCGGGCGCCCAGGGCAACUGGGCGGGCGCCCAGUGCCUGGCCCCGUUCGGCCUCCGCUUCCAUCCCGUGGCUUCUGGAGUCUUCUAGAUGUAAGAUAAUUGCGCGGCACGUUAUUAUCUCCAUGUAAUCCUGACGUGUGGGCCUUUCUUUCGUAUUUCCUGAUAACCCCCUGCAGAAAUAGACAAACACCAAAACUCGUGGAAUUCAGUCAGAUAAAACCCUAAGUCUAGAUGUUUAUUUUAUUUGGAUCCUUUUCUUUGUUUAUUUGAUAAUUAAAUUUGAUACUUAAGGACCGUCCACAACCUACAUCAUCAAGAUUAUCACUUGCUCCUUGGGAGCCAUUAGUUUCAUCAAAUUCAACAUCAAAUGUUUCUUCAACUAUGUUUGUGGCAUGGUUAAAGACCCUAUAUGCCUUGGACUUUGAUGAAUAGCCAACUAAGUAGCCAAUGUCACAUCUCCUUUGGAACUUGCCCAAGUGUUAGCGCUUCUUGUAGAAGUAGCAUUUGCACCCAAACACUCUAAAGAAUGAGAAAUCAGGCUUCUUUCCAUUGAGCAACUCAUAUGGUGUCUUCUCUAGGAACAUGUGAGGAAAGAGCUGGUUUGUUGCAUAGCAUGCGGUGUUGCUUGCCUCAGCCCACAUCUUCUCUGAAGUGUUGUACUCAUCAAGCAUUGUUCUUGCCAAGGUGAUCAAUGUCUGGUUCUUUCUUUCUACUACCCGAUUUUGUUGUGGUGUGUAUGUUGAGGAGAACUCAUGUUUGAUCCCAACUUCAUCACAAUAUUCUUCAAUGUUGGUGUUGUCAAACUCUUUGCCAUUAUCACUUCUAAUUUUCUUAAUCUUGACAUCAAAUUGGUUUUGGGCAUUCUUUGCAAACUUCUUGAAUAUUGAUGCAACUUUGGCCUUGUCUUGCAAGAAGAAUGUCCAAGUGUACUGGGAGUAAUCAUCAACUAUGACCAAGCAAUAUUUGUUGCCUCCAAGACUAGCAUAUGUGGUUGGUCCAAAUAAGUCCAUGUGGAGUAGCUCAAGCACUCUUGAAGUAGAGAGAUAGGCCUUGGUUGGAUGAGUGUUUGCAACUUGCUUGCCGGCUUGACAUGCACUACAUAGCUUGUCCUUCUCAAAUGUUACAUCCUUCAAGGCUCUAAUUAAUUCUUUCUUCAUCAACUUCUUGAGUGUGCCCAUUCCAACAUGUGAUAACCUUCUAUGCCACGACCACCCAAGUGAGGUCUUGGUGAAUAAGCAAGUCUUCACAUCAACUUCAUCGGAUGAGAAAUCAACUACAUAUAAGUUGUUGUGUCAGAAGCCUUUGAAUACCAUUUCAUUGUCAUCCUCCUUGGUCACUAUACUUCCUUUUUCUUGAAUAGGCAUUGGAAGCCAAGAUCACAGAGUUGUCCAACCGAGAGCAAAUUGAAACUCAAAGAUGACACAUAGAGCACAUUGGUGAUGGAGUUGAUAUUGCAAUCUUUCCUAGACCCUUGACCUUGCCUUUUGAAUUGCCACCAAAUGUGAUCUUCUCUUGGUUGUCAACAUCUUCAUCAAGUGAGGUGAACAUCUGGAGAUCUCCAGUCAUAUGUUGAGUGCAACCACUAUCAAUUACCCAAUGUGAUCCACCGGUCAUGUAGUUCACCUACACACAAGAGAUCAAGCUUGAGAUUUAGGGACCCACACUUGUUUAGGGCCCUUGGCCUUCUCUACUAGUUGCUUUGGCACCCAAAUCUUCUAUGGCCUUAGCUUGUUGGGCGGCCCCAUGAAGCUAACCUUGACCAUGCCACUCCUGUAUUUCCUUACAAUGUAGUGAGCAUUGAAGGCAAAUAGUCUAGCAUGCUUGGGCAAGGGUGGUGGUAGUGGUGCCUCACACUCAUGAGCAAAGUGUCCUUCUUGUCCACACUCAAAACACCUCUUUGGCCUGGGCUUGCUUGGUUGUUCAUGAGUGGCUAGUGACUUGAUGAGGUUGCUUUGAUGAGCCUUGAAACCAAUCCCACUCUUGUCCAUCUUCAUGACGGUGUUCAUAAAAGCUCACUUUGAAGGUCCUUCGCUUUGGUGAACUUGGCUAACCCCUUGGUUAGAUGCUCCUUCUCUUUCUUAAGCUUGUUGUUCUCUUGAGUUAGCCUCUUGAUGAUUCGGUCAUUGUUGCUCUCUAACUCUUCCAAGAUGAAGGACUCAUCUUCUUCUUGCUUAUCAUACAACAAACCAAGCUUGAGAUAUUGGUUCUCUUCUUUGAGCAACUUGUUCUCAUCUGCAAGCUUCUUAUCUUGAUCAAGUGACUCAAUCACUAAGGUGUUGUUCUUGGCUUGCUCUUGCAAUUCUUUCUUGAUCUUGGCAUUUUCUUUCUUGAUCAUGAUAGUGUCCUCACUCUCGGCCACUACCACAUUCUUGCCCUUGCAACCAACACAUUUGCUUGUGCUCUCCACAAGUAAGUCAUCAUAAGAUGUGGCUACAUCAAGCUUAGCAACAUGGUUAGUAGCAUUAUGUGUUUCAUUCAUUGCAAGAUCAUAAGCUAUCUCAAGAUUAUCAUAGUUUGCUUUUAGAGUUGUGAACUCUUCUUUCAAAGCUCUAUGUCUAGUGAUAAGCUCAUCAUGAACACUCUCAAGUUUAUCAUGUUUCUCUUUGAGCUCUUUUAAAGAGAGUUUGAGCUCCUUGAGCUUAGUGGUCAUGAUAUCAUUUUGAUCUCUAACCUCAUCACUAGAUUUACGCUUUGCUAGAAGUGAUUCAUUUUCAUGUUCAAGCUUGUCAUUUUCACUUCUAGUUUUUCUUAUGGCUUUAGUGUAUUUGUUUAGCAAUUGCACAAGUUCAUCAUAAGAUGGUGAUUCAUACUCACAAUCACUCUCACUACUCUUAUCCUCACUUUGUACCUUCCGGUCACCCUUGGCCACGAGGCAUAGGUGUGUAGAGGAUGUAGAUGGUGAUGAAGAAUCAAUAGCAAUGGCGGCAACCUUCUCGUCAUCACUUUCGUUGCCAGAGGAGUCACCACUUGUGCUUUCAAUGUCGGUGAGCCAAUCACCAACAAUGUAAGCCUUGCCAUUCUUCUUCUUGUGGUACUCCUUCUUGCCACCUUUCUUCUUGUAAACCUUCUUGUCACUCUUCUCAUCAUCACUUGAAUCAUCUUGCUCUUUGUUCUUCUUCUUGUACUUGUCCUUCUUGGGCUUGGGACAUUGGUGAGCAAGAUGACCAAGAUCACCACAAUUGUAGCAAUCCAUCUCGGAGAUGGGCUUCCACUUGCUACUUGUGAAGAACUUCUUCUUCUUGGAGUCAAAGUUGACUCCAUUUUUGUUGAGCAUCUUAAACAUCUUGGUGAUUCUUCUCACCAAGAGGGCAAUGGAUGCAUCAUCAUCACUUGAAGUUGAUGACUCAACUUCAAUCUUCUUGGCUUUGCAUUUGUGAGAAGCAUUGAGGGCCAAGUCCUUCUUCUCCUUCUUAGCCGAUGAGUGAAAGGUCCAAAUGGCUAGAGGGGGGGUGAAUAGCCUAUUUAAAAAUCUACAAACUUUACUAAACAAGUGAGUUAGUAAAAUAAGUGGCGAAGCUAUUCUAGCGCUAGCACAACUAAGCUAUGCAAGCCACCUAAACAAGUCUAGCAAGAAGGCUAAACACUAAAACAUAACAACUCUAUACUAACAAGAACUAAGCUACACAAGCUAAACUAACAAGGUAGGCAAGUAUGUAAAGAGAGGAGAGUGAUUGUUAUACCGACGUUGUAGAGAAGAGAUAUAUCCAAUCAAUCAUAUACACAAUCACAAGAGAGACCUCGGCAAGAGAUGACACAAGAUUUUUUACCGAGGUUCACUUGCUUCCCGGCAAGCUACUCCUCGUUGUGGCGAUACACCCACUUGAUGGAUCACGAGCUAAUUGGCAAUCCAACUAAAGCCGGCCACCAACUAGGAUUAGCAAUCAAGCAAGGAGAUGAGUGGAGGGAGUGUUCUCUAGCUCAAUGUAUGCCUCAAGUAAUCAAAUGUGCAAGAGAGAACCCCCUAAAGCCGGCCACCAACUAUUUAUAGGCCCCUCAAAGAAACUAGCCGUUGGCCACUUUCACUGGGCUGAAAUUGGGGGCACCGGACGCUACCAAGUGAGCACCAGACGCUCGACCCCCUCCGUCCGGUGCACUGGUGUUGGCCACGUGUCCUUCCUCGAUUUCGCGUGUCUGUUUCUAACGGCUACCUGCAACACACUGGACGCUCCGCAAGUCCACACCGGACGAGUCCUGUAACACCCCAGUGUUAUGGUUGCAUAAAUCAUAUGCAUAACAUAAGCAUCAUCAUCUACUGAAGCAUAUCAUGAUCUUCAUCUACCUUGAGUCAUACCUUUCUAUGCAAAAAUGUGAUUUAAAUUGUUUAAAUAGUCUUCCCAUGCUUAGGUAUGUGUGAACCAUGCUUGUGUUUGUGUUCUAUGCCUUGUUAAAUAGUUUAUCUAUACUUAACUCAAACUUGGGAACAAUGUUCAUGUUGAUCACUUCUCCAAAAUAAUCAGUUAAGUCAUACUUACACAAAUAGGCCCUAGAAAGCUCUUUUGCUUAGGCUUUUAAAAAGUGUUUCAUAAAAUGUUUGCAUGUCAAAACUUUCUACAGUAAAGUUGUAGCAAAUUUUAUAAGGAACAAAAGUUAUUUUAUGGCCAUCUCAUGAAAAUGAUCACAUCUUGCUCAAACACUGCUUGCAAGGCAAAUUUGGGGCUGUCUCCAACACUUAGGAAAUUUUCUAAGUCCGGGAACAAAAACAGUUUGCUCGAUCGGUUUUGGAAACUCUAUAUCUUUCAAACGAGGCCGAUCUGGCUCUUGCUUUAGUUGGCAAUGUUGUAGAACUCGCUUAGAACUCCAACUUUGUCAACUACAUCAUCUCCUAAUUCAUUUUGGUUUGGGAGAUAAUCACCAUCGAAGUCGCUCUGUCAGAUAAUCAUCGUUUUCUUUGAAUCGGAGCCGAGGUCGUCGACGUGGCCGACCGGCGACAGAGCUCCAUCGACAUUUGGCACCCGUACGCCACUCCUGGCCCCGCUCGUCAGCUCCCAGCGUGUGCAUUACCUCCACAGCGACGUCCUGAGCGAAAUGGACGCGUCCAUUCUCUCUGCCUCGCCCUCUCUCGCCAGAAACUCGUCCGCAGCGAGCUCACCGUCACGAGCUCACUCCGGCGAGCUCGUGUGCGCUCCUCGCUGCGUCGCACUCCACCAAACUCCGCCUAUAGCUUUGCCGUGACCCGCUCUCCAUUCUCCACCCGCCAUCUCGAGGUGAAACCCACCGGUGAGCCGCCAUUUCCUUCUUCCCCCAAAUCGGGUCGCCGUGACCUUCUCCGGCGAACUCAAUGCCGAGCUCUUCGAAGCCGAUCGUCUUCUCUGGUUAGGUCCUAGAGGUCGCUUAGGUUCCUAGCAAGCGUUUGCGCCACUUGGUGGACGCUCUACCGCGCUCAUCGUCGCCGGACACGAUGCGCAGCGCCGCCGUGUUCGGCCAGAGUUGGGGUCUCCCGUGGCCAGCGCGUUCCACGACGUUUCAAGCCAAGCCGCUUACCUAGAAAGCUUCGCCGUAGUCCUCUGGUGCUGUAGGAAACCCUAGGUCAUGCUCUACCGGCCUGAGAGCUCCGGCGUAACACCGAGCACCUCCGCCGACCCGCCAUGGUCGACGGCGAGACCCUUCCGGUGGGUCCGCCAUGGGGAAAAGGGAAUCAAUCGAGUCGCUAGAGUCUGGGGAUCGCAAUGGUGCCCUUGGUUUGGCCGGAGUCCUCGCCGUCGCUGAGAAAUCGCCGGCGAGAGUCACCUUGGCUGUGGGGAAGAUGACCCUGACAUGCAGGGCCCGCUGUCGGUGUCACCUCCCUUCCCUCCUUUUCUUUUAUUCAAAAUGCUGAUUUUUGGUCUUCUUGCAAAAAUCAUAUCUAUGGUUCUGUUGAUCCAAAAAUUGUGAAAUCAAUUUUGUGGUAUUCCUUGAGAGGGCUAGUUUUUAAUAAAAAUAUAAAAUGAACCAUGUUUCCUAGGAAAAAUAUUUAUUAGGAUUUAAUCUUGUUAUUCAUGAGUAAAUUCAUAUCUUGUGUUACACUGCUUAUUUUGCUAUGAAACUUUUAUGGUAGUCUCUGUAUAGUACUAGAAUGGUAUGAUAAAUAUUUCAUAAUUUUUGGAAUAUCAUAUCUAUGAUAUGUAAUUUAUGUUUGAGAUUUGGCUUGUUUUAUUAAUUAAAUCAUUUAAAAUAAUUGGUGCUUAUGCUGGUGCUCUACUUUUUGGGCAAACUUUUUUAUGGUAUUAGUAGCAUGUAAAUAAUCUGAAAUCUGUUGUUUGACACCAUAUAAGUCAUGUUUCUGAAUUUAUGAAAUACACACCUUGUCACAUGUUAAAUGCAUAUCUUUAAUUUGGCAUGUGCAUUUACUCUGAGAAUUUUAUGGUGAUGUCUUGAUGCUAUACCUGUGCUUCUGUAAUUUUUAUAGAUUUUUCUGAGCACUUUUACUAGUAUCUUGUAAUUAUACUCCUUUCUAGAAUUUAAUUAAUAAAUGCCGUGUUAGUAAAUAUUUGGAGGUUAUCAUAUGAUGUUCUGGCUAUCUUGUGGUGUGCUUGUGCUCAUAAGCCAUGUGGUUGGCAUUGUUUAUGUUUUGGAUAUGUCAUCAAAUAAUUAAUUAGAGGGAUAAAAGGCUGUCCUGGACAGCAAGGGAGUAAUAUAGUCUUUACUUGUUGCUAACUUGGUUUUCUAGGAGGCUUGUCUAAAUCAAAGUUGUUGUAAACUUUAUGGACUAGCUGUGGUUUAAAUUUGGGAUCUUUUGGUUCAGUAGUUUGAAAGUUAUGGCUGUUCCAAGUUGGGUUCCAGAAAUAGGUGCUCUCUGUUUUUCUGGGACAGAACCUGAAACUUUGUUUAAAUGACCUGGUUAACUUAUGAAUCUUGCUGUGAUGCUUAAAGAUAAAUUGUAGAUAAUUUCAUGAGCUUUCCAGAAUGUCCUCACUUAAGUUUGUUGGAUCCUUGUAGCAAUAGUUAUGGUCGGUCUACUGAGUUGUUCUAUUUCAUGUUGCUUGCUUAUAGGUUGACUUGUCUAGUUUAUUAAUUUAUGUGGCUUUCUUGUAAGUGAACUUAAAAGUUUACUCCGUAAAUGAGUGCCCAGUGACUUUAUCUAUGUAUCAAGCAUUCAUCCUUCAUUAUGCACUUCUUCUUAUUCUUUGAACAUGCAUAGGUGCAUCGGACGCGACCGCUUCUUACGAGCUCCAAGUGAACCCCGAAGGCCAGGUGGGCAACCCGGAGGUGGAGGUCCAGCAAGUCGGACCCGAGGAGCCCGAAGAAGAAGUUGAGUGCCCAAAUCACGAGCCAGCUUCGUUCGUGAAAGGCAAGCCCCGGAGCAUUCUAAGUCUCCCUUUACUUUCGAAAGUUUACUUACUAUGUUAUAUCUAUUGCUGCAUUAAGUAUAGGAGUUAAGAUGAAACCUUUGCUACAUUUUACUCUAUCCUUGUCCAGAUAACUUACCACACCCUGGUUAAAGAAUUAGGAUCGAGUAGCAGCUUAGCCAUGCUCUAAUCGGUAGAAGUCGGGUGAUCUCCUGUCACCUGCGCGAUAUAGGGUGUGUCGGAUAACGAUGGUCUAUAUGUGCUAUCGUGGAUGGAACCUGAUUAAAUUGACUUAAGCCGGGUGGAGUUUUGCAAGGCUGCAGUAACUCCGUCUAUGGCAGCUAAGGACCAACCGUUGUACGUCCUCUUGUCAUGUUGAACCCAUGCCUAACACUUAGUUGGCCGGAUAACUCGUUCCGACAGCGAAGCCGAGUAAUAUGACUCAGGCCGGAAGGUCGAUAAGUAUAAAGUGCGCACUACCGGAGGAAGUGCGGUGUGCGGGGGACCAUUGGCGUAAGUCCAAAGGCAGGUGAGUUAAAAUUCCUGACCUCCCUGGCAGAGUGGUAGCCCUGGGAGUGCGGCGCUUAUCGGAACCGCGAUUCCGGAGUCGUAUCAAAGGUGACCCGUUGGCUCUCCGGCAGGGGAAGCUUGGGUGAGUGAUAGGAAUAUCCCUCCAGCUGGAUAGAAAUUCGAUUCGAAUCGCCGUCUCUCCCGGUUAGUGAGAACUUGACAGAGCAACGGCAAACGUAGCAUUCAUUAAAGAACUUUGGUUCAUGAUAAUGAUGAUAGCAAGGAAAAGUAUAUGAUGAACUUGAUACGGUUAUUAUUUGUUUGUAAUAAUCAAGUGAAGUGCUUUAGUACAGGUGCUAAUCUAGUGGUAGGCUGAUGAUGAAUAAAUAUGAUGCUCUCACAAUAAUUUACUUAUAAUGUAAGCUUUUGGCAAAUGUUGAGUCAACCAGCUCUACUUGAUAUUAGCCUUGCAUGAUCCUUGGUGUCUUUUAUGUUUUACUAGACGGGUAAGUCUAGCUGAGUACAAUCUCGUACUCAGGGUUAAUUCCCACCUGUUGUAGAUGAUAUCUUUUAUGAUGGCUUCUGCAAGACCUGUCUCCAUCCCACUGGGGAUGAGGACUAACCGUUGGGCACGGUUCUCUAACAAACUCAUACCUGUUGCUUUUGGAAGGAUGGUGUAAGACUCUGGCAAUAACAAGAACUUGUGAACUAAACUUUGGACAAGUGUGUGUAAUUAUUUUGCUUCCGCUACUUGAACGUGUGUUGUAAUAACUCGAUAACUCCGAUGUGGUGCCGCUUCGACGGCAAUGAAUGACUAUGUAACAUUCGCUGUGUUGUGCUGAAUUAUUACGAUCUUGGUUUGUUGCAAGUUGUUUGAAGUCCUUCGUGAUUUCAAUUGACUACCGGAAUUAUAUGGGCUCAAGUUUGGAAACUUGAUUGCUUGUCGAUCGUUUCUACACUUGAUCUCUUAUAAUUUGGUCAGUUCUGUGACACGUUCGGUGCACACCGGACUCAUGCGCAGAGAGUUCCGCAAACCGCAGGGUCACCGGACGCUAAGCUAGUCCACACCGGGCGCGUCCGGUGCUCACCGGACUCAUGCGCAGAGAUGGUAGGAGAACCUCCUCACACCGGACGUAACCCACCGGACUCUCUCCGGUGCGUCCGGUGCACUCUGCUACACCUGACAGCUAUUGACGGUCCUUAAUGCUCACAUUUAACCAUCAACUAAUCAUGGAAAAGGAUCCAAAUGCAACCAACACCCAGACUUAGGGUUUUAUCUGACAGAAUUCCACGAGUUUUGGUGUUUGCCUAUUUCUGCAGGGGGUUCUCAGAAAAUAUGGAAGAAAGGCCCACACGUCGGGUUUACAUAGAGAUAUUAACGUGCCGUGCAAUUUUCUAUCAUCUAGAAGACUCCAGAAGCCACGGGAACAAAGUGGAAGCCAAGAGGGCUCAGGGACAGGGCGCCCGCCCUCCUAUUCUGUCCAAUCAGGGUACAACUCGGGGAUCAUGCUCCACCGACCUAAAGGAUCAAGGAAAACCAUGCGAUUAAUGUCGGUUUGAUCCGACGGCCCAGAUUCAUCUGAAAAGACUAUAUAAGCAAGGCCCCCUGGCCCCUAGAGAGCAUACCUCUUCUACAAAAUCAAAGUUAGGAUUUCAAUUCUUCAUCCAAGUAGAGAGGAUCCCUCUAGUUCAUCUAGUUCUAGUUCUAGUUCAUCUAUUUCUAGUUCUUCUAGUUCUAGUUCUAGUUAGUUCUAGUUGUAAUCUAGAAAAUAGGGAGAGAGAAGAGGAGAGCGGAGGAGGAGCCGAAUCUGUCGGAUCUUCCUCAACAUUAUUCUUUUACAGCAACUGGUUCGUUCUUCAUCGUUCUCCAGGUUCUUCAAUUCACAAUUCCUGAGUUCUUUAAUUACUUUUAUUUACAUUCAAGUUAUUUAUUGGAUUCCCGCUUGCAUCAAGUGCUCUAAUCUUUGAAACAUUAGAGUAGUAAUUAAUAGAUUAGACGUGGUGUUUAGUCUUGCAAUUACCUGGAAUUGCACCCAAUCCUGCGGAUUGGUAGCCCUAGGGUAGUGACAGCCCUAACGGUCGACGUAUUCCACCUCGUUCGGAUCGGUGUUUGUAGGACCGUAGUCAGACCUUCCUAGCCCCCUUCUCAUCUCUUUUUGUGGUUAGUGUUCUGAUGUCCCGAAAUAGAUAAUCUUCAAGUAAUUCUUGAUUCUUAGAUCAACUAGAGAACUCUCAGGAAACUUCCUCUCUUCCUACCAAAAAUAAUUAUAUAGUUAUCCUUGGGCGAUCUUGGAUCUUAAUUAGUACACUCACGUUCUCUGUGAAAAAUCGAUAUUCUGGAAUACUCCCGGGUGAAAGCUAAACAUCGGUAUCCGUGCGCUUGCGAAUUUUUCUGUUUGCGUUUAAAAUACCCAACAAGCUUUCUGGCGCCGUUGCCGGGGAACGGUAGCUGUGCUAGUUUCAAACCAAGUCGUCCGUGUAUCCUUUUUCUUUUCCUUUUUUAUCACACUCACCUUACCAUUUUCACCACACCACAUGGAUUUCACUCUAAGCAUUAAUGAGCAUGGAAUUUAUUUCAUAGCCACUUCAUUUACUCCAUGCUCAUAUGCAACAUCUUCCCAAUCUUUUGGUUUUUCCAACAUCAGCACAUUCGAGAUCUCCAAACCCCUCAUCCUUUCUAUUUAUAAAAACUUUAAAAGGGCGGUUGUCGAUGCAUAUGUCUAUAUUAAAUAUUGCAGAUCUCGUCGAGUUGAUCUUGAUAUAGGUCAGCGUUGGAGGGGAAACCACUUCACUGACAUAAAUUGAUGGUUUUCCAAGGACAAGCUUAGUGUCCUAAAACAAGCACUGAUCAGAUUGUAACAUGAGCUUUUAAUUAUUUGCAACAUUACCUUGUGUGUUGAGCAUAUAAGGAUAAUUGUAAAAAUAUUCCUUCAAGUAUUCUUGUCACUAACCUUUCCAGGAUUGGAGCAAGAAGAUCGGAUGAAUGACAAGCACAAGGUAUGUCCAACCAAUCAUCAUGCAACAUUGAAUUAAAUUCAUCCAAUCUUGAAUUUUGCAAAAUUCAAGCUUGGGGGAGUACUUCACAUCAAAACAUCCUUUGCCAUGUUGCUAUGUUGGUUGUCCCUACCUUUGAGACAUGCUCAAUUUGUUAAACACUAAUCAUUCUACUUCAUCUCCACUUGAGUAGAUCUCUAUAAAUGCUCGCAUGCUACCUCUAUUUGCUUUAGUAUAUGUCUAUGUUUGGAGCAGUUUCAUUUAUCUCUUAAUUAAGCUUGGUGCUUAGUUUAGGAAUGAUGAUCUUACUUCCAAGGGGUUUUAAAUUAAGCAUGGUGCUUAGGUUAAGAUGCCCUCCUAAAUCAAAUUAGACAUGGUGUCUAGGUUGAUUUUUGAGCCGAUAGUAUGCUAUAGUAGAUAUUGGAUAUUUUGUUGGACUAACCCCUGCAGGAAAACUUUCAAUAUCGACCUGGGAAGUCCUGAGAUAAACUCACAUUGGAGACAAAGAGAGAGACACAUGAAGUUUAACAAUUUACACAAGGAAAGCAUAGCUCACAAGAGAUGAUCCAUGGAGGGUGCCACAAACACGAUGCACAACCGCUAAGAGAGGAAAGCUUCCACAAGGUGAUACUGUACCAUCACUCUUCAAGUAAGGUAACAUCUUAAGGUACUUGACUAUCACUUUUACAAGCUUCUCCUUAUUUCUGGCGUUCACAUGAAUAAAAGAGACAAACAUGUAUGAUUUACAACUCUAGACUAACCAACCCAAUCGAUUCAAUAUGUUUAGUCCUUCCAUCUUUGUGAUCCCACACUCCUAACCAUAGAGCUAAAAUGUUGCACAUUCAAUCUUUGGAAGAUAUAAACAAAACAUAAAUAUAGAUAGAUUAUCUUUCCAUAAGGUUGAGCAAUCUGAUCUAAAAAAUGUUUUAAAUGCUACACUCAUUAUCCAUCAACUUUGUCUUGCUCACUAUGCUUGAGGUUAGAGAAGAACAAAUACACUUUUGGUUCUGUUGGUGUUUUCCACCAACAGGGCCCAUGCACGAUCUGUGCCUUGUCUUUAUGAGCAGGUACACUUCGAGCAAAAUAUGAAGGAGUUUUACAACUCCCAGACUCCACCAAGUGAAGAACCUAGAUCUACGAGCACAAACACACUGGAGAUACUAGACACUCAGGCAAUCACUGCCCUGAGAUGCUUGAGGACGUAAACUACAACAACAACAACUACUACUACAACCAUCCUCAACAAAAUCAAGGUUGGACUCAACACAGGCCUAACUACUCAGAGGCGAUCCAGGACACCCUGUCAUCCCGAUCUCCAUCGGCAUGGUGGACUUCCCAGAAGCACUCUGCGACUUUGGCUCCAGUGUCAACAUUAUGCCCAGGUUUCCCAAAGGGAAUAUUGAAGAACCUCCGCGUCCGAGUUGGUACCUUGUACGCUCCAGCAGACUUCAUGGUGAUAGAGACUGGUACUGAUGAGAGGGCACCCAUCAUCCUAGGGAGGCCAUUCCUGAACACCUUAGGAGCUGUCAUCUACGCUAGUGCUGCCAAGAUCAGUUUCUACAUCAAGGGGAGGAAGGAGACGUUUUCCUUCAAGAACAAGGCUACACAAAUCCUAGAGCAAUCCUGACAUGAACCAAGGAAGAGGACCAACAGGAGGAACAGGAACAAGCAAAUGUGGACCAAGUCAGCUAAGAUGGUCACUGCAGUUCGAGGAGGUCAAAAUCGUCGAUUUAAGUCACCAUUCCUGACCAAAAAGGAUGACCCAGGUAUGCCAAGCAUCCAGUGCUCCAUUAAUGGAUACAACUUGCAGAAGACGCUUUGCGACACCGGAUCAGGCGUCAACAUAAUGGCCGCAGUCACCUAUCAACUCCUGUUCAGAACCGUGCCCCUAAAACCGACAUACAUUCAGCUCCAGAUGGCAGAUCAGACAUUCUGAAAGUUUAUUGACAUGGGAGAAGACGAGUAUGAUCCACCCAUCAUCCUUGGGAGACAGUUCCUCAGCACCGUUAAAAAAAUCAUCUACAUUGGAACCGGAGAAGUCCACAUGAACUUCCCCUCUGAGAAGGUACGCCACUAUUUUACUGACCCUAUCUAUAUAGUUGAAGACUCUAAGCAGGUCAGGACAAGAAGAAGACGACGCAACCGCAACCAAAGAAGGCAAAUCAUCAAGGAUGGAUGGGCGGACUACGAAGGAGAAGUGGUAAUGUCUGAAGACAGACAGCUUGAACAGAACUGUCCUGAGAAGACCGUAGCACCAAGUCAGGUGUGGAGAGAGAAGAUAGUUAUACAUGAAGAGCAGGCACCACCGGAACCACCGACUACGCCAUCCAGCGAAUCCCAGGACGACUGAGAAAAUGGAGAGUCCCGUUUGGAGGACUUAAAAACACCAAACGCCUUGCCAAGAGCUUUGUUGUCUAUUUGAGCUCCACAGAAUUCAAGGAUCAAAGAAGACUAGCAGACGGAGGACAUCCUAAUCGCUGUUAGAGUGCUGCCAACAUUCAAAUUCACCUCCGCCACCUCCUAGCUACAUCAGAAGAAAUUACGUCAAAAUCCAGCUUGGGGGAGAGCACCCGCAUUUAUCCAGCUAAGUGUUCUACUCACGUUUAUAUUUUACUCAAAUAAUAAAAAGAUGCAUAAACAUAAAAACCCAAAUAAUGAUUUAGUGCUUAUAUAUAACUUUGCUUAGUUUGCUAAAUAAAUAAAUAAAUAAAGUUUGCUAUGAACCCUCAUGAUAAGCUCUCACAUAGAAAUGAUGAAUAAUUGCUCUGCCAUGACUAGUUCUCAAAAUUAAAAUCUCUCUCAAGUUUAGGCAUGACUUGUAUUAAUUAAGAUUUGCUCUAAACCUGAACUUGUGGGGAGAGUACUUGAUCUGAAGUCUAAGUCGUUAACGGAUAUGAUAUGGGAAGGUUGAGCUGCCGUUUAUCUGUUCCUAGAGAUGCUAGAAUUCUGGAGAACUUUAUCUUUGAAAAUCUUUAAAAUGUUGCAUGAUGAGUUCCUGUAUGAUGAGAGUUUAAAUUCCUACCACAGCCAUAUAUACAUGCUUGCUAAACUUUGAGCCACACAUUUACUUUACUGCUUAUGAGCAUUGAGUGUGAUCAAGCUGUGUAGACCGUUAGGAGCUUGUCAUGUGGUUAAAUCAAGAUUCACUUGCACGUUCACUCACACAUGCUGCUUCUACUCCGAAAGUACGCAUCCACAUACAUCCAUCCAUUUCCAUCUCCAGAAUCACCCAAAAAUAUUCUACUCUUAUCUAGGAGAGAAUAGCCAAAAAUAAUAUCCUAUCCCUGUUAUUCCUCGUGAAAUAAAUGCUCGAGAUAUUUUGGUUACUACCACUUGCUACAUUAUUCUAGGAGGAUGAGUGCUCUGAAAAAAAGUGAAUACGAGGAAAUAAAAAGGGGCAAGUGCUCGGAACCUCGAAGAAAAGAAAAAGUGAGACGAGAGGUAAAAAUGGACAAGUGUCCGACAGUAGAAUUAGGGGUACAAGAUACCCACCUGAGAGAAAAGAAAAAAAAGAGAAAAUAUAGAGCAUCUCAUUCCCCUCAAAAAGCUUCAAAGUGCAAGAAAGGUAUGUAUCCCCUCAAAAGAGCAAACGUAGAAUUAGACUUCCACCAUUGUUAUCACCAUCAUCACCACUGUUAUCACCAUUCAUUCGCCACACAUGCAUAUCUUGAUUUGACGUAUUGACUUGAUCUUCUGGAUCCAUGGUUUGACUAUGCAAUAAAUGUCUUGUAACUAUGUAUUAGCUGUCUCCCACCUAUGAGGUCCAGAUAUCAAAAGCCUUAUUAGAGUAGGGUGAGAGAGAAGGCAAUGCCACUAUGCCUCAUACCAAAAAUACCACAUACUUUGAGAGAAGGCAUACACCUUUAUUGCCAUGGUAAGGAUCCAGAAAUACCAUAAAAGAGAGACUAGAGAGAGUCAUACAAGGAAUCUCUGAGUUUAAUUUGAAAAUCUGCAAAAACUCCAGAGCUAUAGUUAAUCAAAGAACAAGAGACGUGGCGCUUGACUAGAACGUUCUAUCUUUUAAC